GGUCGGUUGGCCGAGCGGUUAGGCAACGGUCUGCAAAACCGUGUACGGCAGUUCGAACCUGCCACCGACCU
rnacentral:tRNA from 1 species